rnacentral:lncRNA from 10 species
UUUUGUGUGACGGAGUCUCACUCUGUUGCCCAGACUGGAACGCAGUGGCGUGAUCUCGGCUCACUGCAACCUCCACCUCCCGGGUUCAAGUGAUUCUCCUGCCUCAGUCUCCCAAGUAGCUGGGAUUACAGGCGUGCGCCACCACGCCCAGCUAAUUUUUGUUAGACGGGGUUUCACCAUGUUGGCCAGGAUGGUCUUGAGCUCUUGACCUUGUGAUCCACCCACCUCAGCCUCCCAAAGUGCUGGGAUCACAUGCGUGAGCCACCGCAUCCAGCCUUAUUAAUUUUUUGAGACGGGGCUUGCUCUGUCACCUAGGCUGGAGUGCAGUGAUGCAGUCUUGGCUCACUGCAGCCUCAACCUCCCAAGCUCAAGCAAUUCUUCCACCUCAGCCUCCUGAAUAGUUGGUAGUACAGGUGUGUACCAUACCCGAUUAAUUUUUGUGUAUUUUGUAAUUUUGUGUAUUUUGUAGAGACAGGAUUUCACCAUGUCGCCUAGGCUGGUCUCGAACUCCUGGACUCAAGCGAUCCUCCCACCUUGGCCUCCCAAAGUGUUGUAGUUACAGGUGUGAGCCACUGCGCCGGCCAUAAAUUACACUUAAAAAAAAUAAAAAGUAUUGAGGCCGGGUGUGGUGGCUCACGCCUAUUAUCCCAGCACUUUGGGAGGCCAAGGCAGGUGGAUCACAAAGAGUUCAAGACCAGCCUGGCCAAGAUAGUGAAAUCCCGUCUCUACUAAAAAUACAACAAUUAGCCGGACGCAGUGCCAGUUCCCUGUAACAUCCCAAUAGUCAUGACACUGUCAAUUGCCUGGUUUUGUAUUUUUAAUAGGGAACGAGGGCCGGGCACGGUGGCUCACGUCUGCAAUCCCAGCACUUUGGGAGGCUGAGGCAGGCGGAUCACCUGAGGUCAGGAGUUUGAGGCCAGCCUGACCAACAUGAUGAAAUCUCAUCUCUACUAAAAAAUACAAAAAUUAGCCGGGCGUGGUGGCAUGCGCCUGUAAUCCCAGCUACUUGGGAGGCUGAGACAGGAGAAACGCUUGAACCCAGGAGGCGGUGGUUGGGGCGAGUGCCACUGCACUCCAGCCUGGGCAACAAGAGCGAAACUCUGUCUCAAAAAAAAACUUAAAAAAAUCAAAACAAAAAUGUUACUUAUUUAUUUAUUUUUUUGAGCUGGAGUCUCACUAUGUUGCCCAGGCUGGAGUGCAGUGGUGCAAUCUCUGCUUGCUGCAAGCUCCACCUCCCGGGUUCACGCUAUUCUCCUGCCUCAGCCUCCUGAGUAGCUGGGACUACAGAUGCCUGCCACCACGCCCAGCUA